GUGCUCAGCUUUCGCAGCACAUAUACUAAAAAAAAAAUUGGAACAAUACAGAGAAGAUUAGUAUGGCCCCGCGCAAGGAUGACAAGCAAAUUCGGUGAAGCGCUCCAUAAAAAA
rnacentral:snRNA from 1 species